CAGCGGUGGCCGCGGCUGCAGAGCGGGUGUGAGGGGGCUGGACCGCGCUGCAGGCCUCGGCAGGGCGCGGCAAGAUGGAGGUGACGGGGGUGUCGGCACCCACGGUGACCGUUUUCAUCAGCAGCUCCCUCAACACCUUCCGCUCCGAGAAGCGAUACAGCCGCAGCCUCACCAUCGCUGAGUUCAAGUGUAAACUGGAGUUGCUGGUGGGCAGCCCUGCUUCCUGCAUGGAACUGGAGCUGUAUGGAGUUGACGACAAAUUCUACAGCAAGCUGGAUCAGGAGGAUGCACUGCUGGGCUCCUACCCUGUAGAUGAUGGCUGCCGCAUCCACGUCAUUGACCACAGUGGCGCCCGCCUUGGUGAGUAUGAGGACGUGUCCCAAGUGGAGAAGUACACGAUCUCACAAGAAGCCUACGACCAGAGGCAAGACACGGUCCGCUCUUUCCUGAAGCGCAGCAAGCUCGGCCGGUACAACGAGGAGGAGCGGGCUCAGCAGGAGGCCGAGGCCGCCCAGCGCCUCGCCGAGGAGAAGGCCCAGGCCAGCUCCAUCCCCGUGGGCAGCCGCUGUGAGGUGCGGGCGGCGGGACAAUCCCCUCGCCGGGGCACCGUCAUGUAUGUAGGUGCGUGGCCCGCGGGCCCCGUCCCGGGCUCUAGGGCUCCAAGGCCGGGAGGAAACGUUAUGGGCGCAGUGGAGCCUCGGAGAUCACGCUCUGCCUUGGGGCGCGGGGUGGGGGGUACUCGAAACGAUCUCAGUCCUUGGAGGUGGCGGAACCAUCGGCCGACACU
rnacentral:sRNA from 1 species